GAUGCAGUGAGAGGCACAUUCUGAAUACGUGUGGUAAAAUCUACCCUCUCACUGGUCUAGUAUUUUUGUUCAGCGGAGUUUUGGUGGAAGCGAAGUUCCCUGAGAUUACUUUUUUCUGACUAGCAGUUGGGGGACGAGACUUGGCCAAUCCCCACCCAGAUCUUCAUGAUUUCUAUUGUGCCUGAAGCUGUGACUUCAUCACACGCAUCACCUAGGAGGUGAGAGAGCCAGGGCACAGAAUUCCGUGUCCUCAGUCUUGCUCAGAUGCAGGUAUUCUCUGCACAGUGCUGUCCAUAAGGAUAAAGAAAACAAUGACAUAAAGAUGGAUCAUCUAGGAAGGCCAGGCUGUCUCCUGGAGUCACCAAGGAGAGGAGUUCUCAGAGGGAAGGAAGAUGAUAUGAGAGAAGAUCCCCCACUAUUUGUGAGGGUAGCAAGAGAGCCCAAGGAUUCUGAGGCUGAGAUCUGUGCCCCUGGGCCAUUAGUUUGAGUGUGGCUAAUGCUAUAAGGAGUCCUGUGACAUCCUAUCCCAGAUGGGGGAGGUCUUUUGAGACCCUCAUUGUCUGU